rnacentral:rRNA from 2 species
CUUGGUCAUUUAGAGGAAGUAAAAGUCGUAACAAGGUCUCCGUAGGUGAACCUGCGGAGGGAUCAUUACAGAGUUCGUGCCCUCGCGGGUAGAUCUCCCACCCUGUGCUAUCGAUACCUUUGUUGCUUUGGCGGGCCGCCCUCGGCUACCGGCCCCCGCUGGUACGCGCCCGCCAGAGGCCCCCCAAACCCUGAAUGUCAGUGUCGUCUGAGUACUAUACAAUAGUUAAAACUUUCAACAACGGAUCUCUUGGUUCUGGCAUCGAUGAAGAACGCAGCGAAAUGCGAUAAGUAAUGUGAAUUGCAGAAUUCAGUGAAUCAUCGAAUCUUUGAACGCACAUUGCGCCCCUUGGUAUUCCGAGGGGCAUGCCUGUUCGAGCGUCAUUUCAACCCUCAAGCGCAGCUUGGUCUUGGGCUUCGCCGCUGACGCGGCGGGUCUUAAAAUCAGUGGCGGUGCCGUCGGGCCCUGAGCGUAGUACAUCUCCUCGCUAUAGGACCCCGGCGGAUGCUGGCCAGCAACCCCCAAUCUUCCAUGGUUGACCUCGGAUCAGGUAGGGAUACCCGCUGAACUUAAGCAUAUCAAUAAGCGGAGGA